rnacentral:rRNA from 1 species
CCUACGGGUGACAGCAGUGAGGAAUAUUGGUCAAUGGGCGAGAGCCUGAACCAGCCAAGUCGCGUGAGGGAUGACGGUCCUAUGGAUUGUAAACCUCUUUUGUCGGGGAACAAAGGCGUCCACGUGUGGACUGAUGCGUGUAUCCGAAGAAAAAGCAUCGGCUAACUCCGUGCCAGCAGCCGCGGUAAUACGGAGGAUGCGAGCGUUAUCCGGAUUUAUUGGGUUUAAAGGGUGCGUAGGCGGACAGUCAAGUCAGCGGUAAAAAUGCGGUGCUCAACGCCGUAGAGCCGUUGAAACUGGCAGACUUGAGUGGGCGAGAAGUAUGCGGAAUGCGUGGUGUAGCGGUGAAAUGCAUAGAUAUCGCGCAGAACUCCGAUUGCGAAGGCAGCGUACCGGCGCCAUACUGACGCUGAGGCACGAAAGCGUGGGUAUCGAUCAGGAUUAGAUACCCGUGUAGUC